GGGCCUAUAGUAAAAUGGCAUUACACGGCCAUGGCAUGGCCGGGGUCGGGGUUCGAUCCCCCGUAGGUCCACCA
rnacentral:tRNA from 1 species